rnacentral:rRNA from 1 species
ACGCUCGACACCUACUGGAGGCAGCAGUGGGGAAUAUUGCACAAUGGGGGAAACCCUGAUGCAGCGACGCCGCGUGAGCGAAGAAGUAUUUCGGUAUGUAAAGCUCUAUCAGCAGGGAAGAAACUGACGGUACCUGACUAAGAAGCACCGGCUAAAUACGUGUCAGCAGCCGCGGUAAUCUGAGCGGGCUGGCAAGGC